UUGCUUUGGAAGCAUAUAUACUAAGAUUUGAAUGAUACAAAGAAAAUUAGUAUUGACUCUGUGUAAGGAUGACAUACAAAUUUGUCUUCCACAUUUUU
rnacentral:snRNA from 1 species